AGGAAACUGGGAGCCCCGGGGCUGGCACCUGUGACGACACCGCUGGAGCCCGGGGGGACCGAGGCCUGUAUGGCACCCGCAGUCCGGGAAGAACCUACCUCAAAGUAUAUGUAUGCCCUUGGGAUGAAGGAGCAUAAACACACGGAGGAGCAUGGAGAAAGAGGAAUGAGGCAAGAAGUUGGAGAUGCCUGAAUUUAACCCCAGUUCGACAUGUACUAGCUUUCUAAAUGUAUCUGGGAGGGCUGCAACCAAGGAAUGCAGAAGGCUUAGGGAGAGGGGGAAAACUACAUUAACCCUGUUGUAACAUGCUAGGAUUAAAAACUACCACCCCCUCCAAAGAUCAUUUGUAAUAUAGGGAGAAAUGGAACUGUGAAGGCUGAACAACUUUUUUCUUUCUUAUACUUGAGAAAUUUUUCUUUAAAGGACCACAGUGUGUUUUCCAGAGCUCUUAGAAUCAGGCAUCCUCCAUAAAUAUAUAUUUUUUCCCUUUGAGGAAGUGAUGGGGGGCAGGAAAUGAGGAAGGGAGAAAAUUCCAAUUGCUCGGCUCUUAUAACCUUUAGCGUCCCACACACGCUGUAACUAUUGUUACAUAUUUUAGGUAAUAACUACAUAGUGUAGUGCACAGCACAAAGAGAUAUGGAAUCUUUCAAAGAGGGAGGGUGGGGGAAGAGCAGAAAGAGGACAGCACCCGUUUCACAGGCCCAACCUGUCUUCUUCCUCCUUCCAUGGGGUCACCAUUAGUAUGUCAUCACCUAUAGGCUAUAAUUGCCUUCAAUUUCCCAGGGGCUAGUGAAUAGCAACCAGUGGCGGAGGAGGAAGAGGAAGAAGAAGAGGAAGAAAUGAAGGAGAAGGAGAAGGAGGAGA